CCCUUAGAUGUCCUGGGCUGCACGCGCGCUACACUGAUGUGUCCAGUAAGCACCUAACCUCUUCCGAAAGGAACGGGUAACCUUUGCAAAGCACAUCGUGAUGGGGAUAGAUUAUUGCAAUUAUUAGUCUUGAACGAGGAAUUCCUAGUAAGCACAAGUCAUCAGCUUGUGUUGAUUACGUCCCUGCCCUUUGUACACACCGCCCGUCGCUCCUACCGAUUGAAUUGUCCGAUGAAAUUUUUGGAUUGCGGGUUUUGUUUUACUGUUAGUUCGCUAGUAGUAACGCCUGUGAGAAGUUAAUUUAAUCUUACAAUUUAGAGGAAGGAGAAGUCGUAACA
rnacentral:rRNA from 1 species